rnacentral:rRNA from 1 species
CGGCGGACGGGUGAGUAAUGUCUGGGAAACUGCCUGAUGGAGGGGGAUAACUACUGGAAACGGUAGCUAAUACCGCAUAACGUCUUCGGACCAAAGUGGGGGACCUUCGGGCCUCACGCCAUCAGAUGUGCCCAGAUGGGAUUAGCUAGUAGGUGGGGUAAUGGCUCACCUAGGCGACGAUCCCUAGCUGGUCUGAGAGGAUGACCAGCCACACUGGAACUGAGACACGGUCCAGACUCCUACGGGAGGCAGCAGUGGGGAAUAUUGCACAAUGGGCGCAAGCCUGAUGCAGCCAUGCCGCGUGUGUGAAGAAGGCCUUCGGGUUGUAAAGCACUUUCAGCGAGGAGGAAGGGUUCAGUGUUAAUAGCACUGUGCAUUGACGUUACUCGCAGAAGAAGCACCGGCUAACUCCGUGCCAGCAGCCGCGGUAAUACGGAGGGUGCAAGCGUUAAUCGGAAUUACUGGGCGUAAAGCGCACGCAGGCGGUUUGUUAAGUCAGAUGUGAAAUCCCCGCGCUUAACGUGGGAACUGCAUUUGAAACUGGCAAGCUAGAGUCUUGUAGAGGGGGGUAGAAUUCCAGGUGUAGCGGUGAAAUGCGUAGAGAUCUGGAGGAAUACCGGUGGCGAAGGCGGCCCCCUGGACAAAGACUGACGCUCAGGUGCGAAAGCGUGGGGAGCAAACAGGANNNGAUACCCUGGUAGUCCACGCUGUAAACGAUGUCGACUUGGAGGUUGUGCCCUUGAGGCGUGGCUUCCGGAGCUAACGCGUUAAGUCGACCGCCUGGGGAGUACGGCCGCAAGGUUAAAACUCAAAUGAAUUGACGGGGGC